AAGACUAUAGACCUGCGGAGUACCUGCGGAGGGAUCAUUACUGAGUGUUUGAAUUUUUUUUUAAAUUCAAAACCUCCCACCCUUUGUUUAUUCAAACUUUUUUAGUUGCUUCGGCUUUUCGUACUAUUUUUUGUUUUAAUCAAAAAAUAAGUCCAUUGACUAAAGAAAUUUAGUGAAUGUGUUAUUAGCCGAAGGAAUUUUUAAACAAACUCUUUGUUAUAAAGUUGUCUGAGUUUAUUU
rnacentral:misc_RNA from 1 species